AACGAACGCUGGCGGCAGGCUUAACACAUGCAAGUCGAGCGCCCCGCAAGGGGAGCGGCAGACGGGUGAGUAACGCGUGGGAAUCUACCCAUCUCUACGGAAUAACGCAUGGAAACGUGUGCUAAUACCGUAUACGUCCUUCGGGAGAAAGAUUUAUCGGAGAUGGAUGAGCCCGCGUUGGAUUAGCGAGUUGGUGGGGUAAAGGCCUACCAAGUCGACGAUCCAUAGCUGGUCUGAGAGGAUGAUCAGCCACACUGGGACUGAGACACGGCCCAGACUCCUACGGGAGGCAGCAGUGGGGAAUAUUGGACAAUGGGCGCAAGCCUGAUCCAGCCAUGCCGCGUGAGUGAUGAAGGCCCUAGGGUUGUAAAGCUCUUUCACCGGUGAAGAUAAUGACGGUAACCGGAGAAGAAGCCCCGGCUAACUUCGUGCCAGCCGCCGCAGUAAGAC
rnacentral:rRNA from 1 species